rnacentral:lncRNA from 1 species
UUUUUUUGUUUGUUUGUUUGUUUUUUAGUAGCCUAAACCUCCUUUUCACCUCUACCCUCUUGCUUACCUACCUGCCUCUCCUGUGCCAUGUCUCAGAGCUUUGAUGGCAUUUCCUCCAAGAAACCUUUCUUGCUAUAAUUCCUGGACUCAGAAAUGAACUGUCAAAUACAACACCCUGGCCCAGUGAGGUUACAAAGCCAUCUCUCCUCUCCCCAAGUCCCCAUUUAAAAACAAAUGCCAAUUUAUAACUUCUGGCUUGUUUAGCAAUUAACCUUUCCCCUGUGGUUCUUUGGGUCUAAUAUUUCCACAGUUUGGCUACUAUUCUUCACAUAGGCCUUUUGACUUAUGUGUUCAUGCACAAUUAUUAUGCAAACUCAUCAUAAAUGGUGUUCUAUAGAAACAUCAGAUUUUAGUUCAAAGUUUGUCAAUGAUAAGAAAACCCACAGCAUUUUAUUUAAACAUUAUAUGUAAUAACCAUAAAGCUUUUCAAAUGUGAAUUAUUUAUUUAGCAAAUAUCUGGGUGUAAUAAAGACAGAGACAAAGGUGCUAGUAGGUAAAGAAGACCUUAACUCUAAAGAAAAGGCUCUGGAAUCCUGACUGUUACAGGAGCUGAAAAUGGCUCCACUUUAUUCUGAAAGUGGCACCAACUCCUAAAAACAAAAAUGCACUUAUCAGGGACAUUCCUGUUCUUCAGCAGAUAAUUGCCUAAGUAAACAGACUUUCUCUGCAGAGAUUUUCACCAAAGUGCAAGCAGAAAACUGUAUUUAAGUAUCAAUGGUUAAGGAGUUUUCUAGGAAAUGUUGUUUGACCACUUGGUGCAGCUUUUCUUACCUAUGAAAAUAAGAUCAUACAUAAUGAUUAGGUAAAAGUGAACAUUUCUCUAGGGCCUUAACAAUCCAAUUUGUACUAUGUUUUUGGCUUUGUAUUAUUUUAAGAAAGCUUUUUUUGGGGGGAAAGUUUUACAAAUAUACACUUUAAACAAUGUUAUCAACAUUACGAUCAUGCAAAGCUAGCUAGCUGGGAUUUACCACUAUUAGGCUUGAUUCUCUCUGCCAAUAAAAUUAGUUAAUUCAUAUUUUAGCUAACACUAGGUUGGAAUAUUUAAGUGUUUAAAAUUUUUUGAAUCGGUAUCCUAUUAAUGAUUAAAAUUUAUAUGACCUACAUUUAAGAAUAAGAGCUGCAGCUAACAUUCAUAAUAGUAUUUACUAUCAGCCAAACACUAUUCCAAAUGCUUUACUUAUAUUAUGUAAUCUUCAUCACAACUAUGAGAUAGAUAUUAUUACUACCCAUAUUUUAUAAGCAAACACAGUAAAGUGAAGUGAAUUGCCCAAAGUCACCAGCUACUAAGCACUUAGUGGAUACUUAGCAUUUGGUACUUUGGUGGUUCUAAUUCCAUAGGUCACUUUACCACUUUUUGAGGAAAGAAAACAUCUGCAAAUGAGCACAUGGCUUCAGGAUGAAUUCUUGCAGCAAAUUAAAGGAAAUGUGACAGCACACUCCCACUUAAUCCAAGGAGUCAACCUCAAGAUCAGUGGACUCUCAUAGGCAGAUCUGCUGUGCUGCUUCCUCUUGACACAGUGAGAAUGUUCCAGAGUCAACAGGGAAGACGUGACGUUAACUUUACUGUUAUGACUCCCAGACUGGAUCAACUCACCUCCCCCAACUUUUCCUUUUUUUUUUUUUUUUUUUUUAAAGAUUUUAUUUAUUCAUUCAUGAGAGACACACAUGGGGAGAGGCAGGGAGAGACAGAGGCAGAGGGAGAAGCAGGCUCCAUGCUGGGAGCCCAAUGUGGGACUCGAUCCCAGGACUCCAGGACUCACCCUGAGCCGAAGGCAGAUGCUCAACCACUGAGCCACCCAGGCAUCCCCCAACUUUUCCAUUUAUAUUCUCUUUCAGAUACAGGGCACAGAAAUGCUCCGGAAAAGUAGAACCAGACCAGGGUUACUUUGUUGUGCUAAUAAGGACAUGGCUGGGAAUGAGAAAGGGGCCGGCCACACAUUUUAUCUGUGUUGUGAACUAUACUGAGAAGAAGUACAUUCCAGUGCAGAAUCUCCGGGAGUCUAUGUAGACAUGUCUCCAUGCCCCCAUCUCUAACAAAAGGAGCUUUGCUUUUCUUUCUGCUUUGGAGGGGUUACCUGAAAUCUCAUCUGAAAUCUGCGUUCCAUGGCUAAAAAGUUUAUAAAGUAAUGUGAUGGUGACAUGCUGAGGCCCUGGAUCAGAACAGACCAGAAUCCUUAUCUCUGCAUUUGGCCACAAAUAAGCCAUGACUAACCCUGGGUACAUAAUGUAUGAACCCUGGGUUUCAGUUUCAUUUAAUACAAACUCAUUAUUUUAUUUCUAAGACCUUUUGCCAUAUUUAAAAAAUAUAUCCUAUAAAAAGAAAGUAAAGAUGCAUAGUAAUCUCAACAAAGACAUCUAAAAAAGGCAAAAAAGAAAAAAUCAAUCCUAUUUCUCACAUAAAGUAGGGUAAGGUAACUUACUGCUA